GGUUGUGAGGGCAAUCUGGCUGCAACAUCUGUCACCCUAUUGAUUGCCAGGGUUGAUUCUGCUGAUCCGGCUGGUUAGGCGGGUGUCCCCUUCCUCCCUCAACGCUCCAUGUGUGUCCCUCCCAAAGCUGAGCGCCGGUCAAAGAGGACGACCUUCCCCGAUGAAGGAGGACUGGUCUUCGGUCAAGGGUAUACGCGUAGCUGCGCUCCCCUGCUAGAACCUCCAAACAAGCUCUCAAGAAAAAAGGAAAAAAAGAUUAUUUUGGGAGGAAGUGAUAGGUAAAAAGUUGGCAGAGAAU
rnacentral:snRNA from 1 species